rnacentral:rRNA from 1 species
CCUACGGGGGGCUGCAGUAGAGAAUCAUUCACAAUGGGGGAAACCCUGAUGGGGCGACGCCGCGUGGGGGAAUGAAGGUCUUCGGAUUGUAAACCCCUGUCAUGUGGGAGCAAAUUAAAAAGAUAGUACCACAAGAGGAAGAGACGGCUAACUCUGUGCCAGCAGCCGCGGUAAUACAGAGGUCUCAAGCGUUGUUCGGAAUCACUGGGCGUAACGCGUGCGUAGGCUGUUUCGUAAGUCGUGUGUGAAAGGCGCGGGCUCAACCCGCGGACGGCACAUGAUACUGGGAGACUAGAGUUAUGGAGAGGGAACCGGAAUUCUCGGUGUAGCCGUGAAAUGCGUAGAUAUCGAGAGGAACACUCGUGGCGAAGGCGGGUUCCUGGACAUUAACUGACGCUGAGGCACGAAGGCCUGGGGAGCGAACAGGAUUAGAUACCCUGGUAGUC